AACAUAUGAUAGCACUCAGUUUACUGGAAAUCACAGCCUCGUCCCAAAGAUGGCCUGUUCUAAUGAAAAUCUGAAAAUUCUCUGAGUCAUGCAGGUUGUAUAGUUGCCAAAACAACUCUUCAGAAAGAGUAGCCAUGGAAACAGCACACCAGAUUGUCUCAAGGGGUGUAUAAAAACAUCUGAAAACUGACUUGGAGCACUUGGCAGACACUGAGAGAGUUUCAGCCGCAAGCCAUCUGGCUGGGAGUCUGACCAGAAUACAAAGAGAACCCUUUUUUGACCAAUCAAACUGCAACAUGCAAAUGAACUCUGGCAUUCAGAGAUUUCACCUCAAGUCCUCAAAUGGGGAAGUCAUUACUCUUCUGAAUACCCACCCCUAUCCCCAGAGGCAUAUGACCUCAAUCAUAAAAGAAAAUAAAUAUACAGGGCGAGAGAGGAAGCAGACCAAGAUGGCCAAAUAGAAGCUCCAGUGAUCAUCCCCCUGACCCCACUGCAGGAACAACAAACUGAACAACUAUCCACAAAGACAGCACCUUCAUAAAACCAAAAUCAGGUAAGCAAUCACAGUAGCUGGCUUUAACAAUGUAUCAGAGAAAGAGUCACUGAAGGAGGUUAAAAAU
rnacentral:lncRNA from 1 species